rnacentral:rRNA from 1 species
GACGAACGCUGGCGGCGUGCUUAACACAUGCAAGUCGAACGAUGAACCCGGAGCUUGCUCCGGUGGAUUAGUGGCGAACGGGUGAGUAACACGUGAGUAACCUGCCCUUGACUCUGGGAUAACUGCGGGAAACUGUAGCUAAUACCGGAUACGACCCUCGGCGGCAUCGCCAGGGGGUGGAAAGAAUUUCGGUCAAGGAUGGACUCGCGGCCUAUCAGCUAGUUGGUGAGGUAACGGCUCACCAAGGCGACGACGGGUAGCCGGCCUGAGAGGGUGGCCGGCCACACUGGGACUGAGACACGGCCCAGACUCCUACGGGAGGCAGCAGUGGGGAAUAUUGCACAAUGGGCGAAAGCCUGAAGCAGCAACGCCGCGUGAGGGAUGACGGCCUUCGGGUUGUAAACCUCUUUUAGUAGGGAAGAAGCGAAAGUGACGGUACCUGCGGAAAAAGCACCGGCUAACUACGUGCCAGCCGCCGCGGUAA